GGCCAGGCUGCCUCCCCCGUGCGAAGCCGUGUGAAGGAACCGGGCAUUCACCGGGCAGGGGGAGCAGGAGGAGUGAGGAGCUCAGCAUCACGACUGUUCGUUGAUACGGCUCUUCUCUGCAAACCUCUGGCAGUUGUUCGCCUGUUUUCUCCCGUACCCCCUGGAAGGGGGGCUGCAGCUCAGAUUGCCACCGUCUCCUCAGUGACUGCAUAGUCGCCAUCAGCCUGGCGCGUCCCGUUUGUUUCUGCAAACUAGCAGCGUACUUCAAGAAGGAUAGAGAUCAACUGGACAUGACCCAGAGCUGAACAAUAGGAAUAUGAUGCCACAGAAGAACAGAAAACAUGAUCCAUGGAGAAAGAAGAACACACGCCUCUGGGACUGCUCUGGGACCAGAACAGCAUCACUACAAAAAUCUUGUAACUUCGUUAAUUGCAAGUACAAAAAUCUUGUCAUUUCACUAAUUGCAAAAAUCCAACCAACAACUCUCCUCCUUUUUCUUUCUUAUUUCUAAACUACAUUUCCUAGAAAUCUCAGGCUUAGAGUCAAAGUGCACAUCUGUGUCUUGCUCUCUGGUUCAGUCUCCUAUUAGAGAAACAUACUGAAAAGCAAACAGUAAGUGCAGGAAACCAUUUAAUAUCAUUUUUUUUCCCUCUCAUGUCAAGAAAAUAUUCAACUGAUUUCAGCAACCAGUAAGGAGCUCCACAAGAGCAGACCUAGGUUUGGGUCAUAUUCAGUAUCUUGUAAUUGAGCUUUUAAACACUCAUUUUUCACCUAAGAAUAACUCGUUAAAGGACUUAAUAACCAUCUCUUCAUAAAAAUACAGGAC